rnacentral:rRNA from 1 species
AGUCGACGAUGAAGCCCUUCGGGGUGGAUUAGUGGCGAACGGGUGAGUAACACGUGGGCAAUCUGCCCUGCACUCUGGGACAAGCCCUGGAAACGGGGUCUAAUACCGGAUAUGACUGUCCACCGCAUGGUGGAUGGUGUAAAGCUCCGGCGGUGCAGGAUGAGCCCGCGGCCUAUCAGCUUGUUGGUGAGGUAGUGGCUCACCAAGGCGACGACGGGUAGCCGGCCUGAGAGGGCGACCGGCCACACUGGGACUGAGACACGGCCCAGACUCCUACGGGAGGCAGCAGUGGGGAAUAUUGCACAAUGGGCGAAAGCCUGAUGCAGCGACGCCGCGUGAGGGAUGACGGCCUUCGGGUUGUAAACCUCUUUCAGCAGGGAAGAAGCGAAAGUGACGGUACCUGCAGAAGAAGCGCCGGCUAACUACGUGCCAGCAGCCGCGGUAAUACGUAGGGCGCAAGCGUUGUCCGGAAUUAUUGGGCGUAAAGAGCUCGUAGGCGGCUUGUCACGUCGGUUGUGAAAGCCCGGGGCUUAACCCCGGGUCUGCAGUCGAUACGGGCAGGCUAGAGUUCGGUAG